rnacentral:rRNA from 1 species
AGAGAGAGACAUGCGCGCAUAUCAAUAAGCGGAGGAAAAGAAACUAACAAGGAUUCCCUUAGUAACGGCGAGUGAAGCGGGAAGAGCUCAAAUUUGAAAUCUUCAAGGUUUUACCUUGACGAAUUGUAGUUUAAAGAAGUGUUUUCUGCUGAAGUUUUGGUAAAAGUUCUUUGGAAUAGGACAUCAUAGAGGGUGAGAAUCCCGUAUUUGACCAUUAUUUUCAGCUUUGUGAUACACUUUCAAAGAGUCGGAUUGUUUGGGAAUGCAGUCCAAAAUGGGUGGUAAAUUUCAUCUAAAGCUAAAUAUUGGCGAGAGACCGAUAGCGAACAAGUAGCCGUGAGGGAAAGAUGAAAAGAACUUUGAAAAGAGAGUUAAACAGUACGUGAAAUUGUCAAAAGGGAAGCGUUUGACACCAGUGUUGUUUUCUCGAAAAUCAAUUAAAAAUGGCUCGAUUUUGUAUUGUUGAGACCUUAAAAGCUCACUGUACAUUUUUCGUGUCUUUUUUAAUGCACUUUUCGUUUAACAAGUCAACAUCAGUUUCUUUUGUUGUAAAAGGGUCAUUGGAAGGUGGCUUUCUUUCGGAGAAAGUGUUUAUAGCCUUUGGCCUCUGCAAUCGGAGAGACUGAGGUCUGCAGCGUAGACUCUUCGGGGUUAGAUACAUUUGUGCUAAGUUAUAGCUUUUUAUAGACAACUUGUUGACUAUAAUUAGUCUUGUAGCUUACUCGCUUAUGCUAUUUUACCUACGCUUAGGAUGUUGAGUCGUAGAGCACGCAG